UAGCCAUGGUGUAGGCACUGAUUCAACAGAUCCUUGAAUCAUUCCCAAACUUGAUAGAACGUUUCUUUCUCCUCUUGGAAAAAUGUGGAAAUUUGUCAUUUUAGACU